UUCUCCGCUCCUUCUAGGAUCUCUGCCUGGUUCGGCCUGCCUGCCUCCACUCCUGCCUCCACCAUGUCCAUCAGGGUGACCCAGAAGUCCUACAAGGUGUCCACCUCUGGCCCCCGGGCCUUCAGCAGCCGCUCCUACACGAGUGGGCCCGGUACCCGCAUCAGCUCCUCGAGCUUCUCCCGAGUGGGCAGCAGCAGCUUUCGGGGUGGCCUGGGCGGCGGCUAUGGUGGGGCCAGCGGCAUGGGAGGCAUCACCGCAGUCACGGUCAACCAGAGCCUGCUGAGCCCCCUUGUCCUGGAGGUUGACCCCAACAUCCAGGCCGUGCGCACCCAGGAGAAGGAGCAGAUCAAGACCCUCAACAACAAGUUUGCCUCCUUCAUAGACAAGGUACGGUUCCUGGAGCAGCAGAACAAGAUGCUGGAGACCAAGUGGAGCCUCCUGCAGCAGCAGAAGACGGCUCGGAGCAACAUGGACAACAUGUUCGAGAGCUACAUCAACAACCUUAGGCGGCAGCUGGAGACUCUGGGCCAGGAGAAGCUGAAGCUGGAGGCAGAGCUUGGCAACAUGCAGGGGCUGGUGGAGGACUUCAAGAACAAGUAUGAGGACGAGAUCAAUAAGCGUACAGAGAUGGAGAAUGAAUUUGUCCUCAUCAAGAAGGUGAGGGAAUCUCCCUUCUCCUUUCUGGACACUGGAGGCUGGGGCUCAGAGACUCAGACCAAGAGGCUUUCUGGGUUGUGUCCCUAAAUAUUCCUAAGUAGUGGGACAAACUCAUUUAUGUCAACAUUUGGGUGCACAGAAAGGUAGACAAGGAUGGAGUAGUAGGUGCAUUUGGACAGAACUCUUGACAUCGAUGUUGGGACAUGGUUCAGAAAACAGAGCAGUAGAACUGGAGAUCUGGCUCUAGAAGGCUCCCUAGAGGAGGUGGAAGAGGGUGCGCUGCAGGAAGCAGAGGUGAAGGUGUGUGGGCUGAGAAUGCACAUGUGAUGGGCAGAGGCUGGGCUGGGAGAUCAAACCACAAAGUGGGCAACUAGAAAAUCCUGUGACCAGGCCAUUGGGUGGACCUUGGGAGCCCCUUGGUUGGGGUUGGGUGUGGAAACCCAGCUCAGGCUCCCCUCUCCUCAUCCCCCAGGAUGUGGAUGAAGCUUACAUGAACAAGGUAGAGCUGGAGUCUCGCCUGGAAGGGCUGACUGACGAGAUCAACUUCCUCAGGCAGCUGUAUGAAGAGGAGAUCCGGGAGCUGCAGUCCCAGAUCUCAGACACAUCUGUGGUGCUGUCCAUGGACAACAGCCGCUCCCUGGACAUGGACAGCAUCAUUGCUGAGGUCAAGGCACAGUACGAGGAUAUUGCCAACCGCAGCCGGGCUGAGGCUGAGAGCAUGUACCAGAUCAAGUAUGAGGAGCUGCAGAGCCUGGCUGGGAAGCAUGGGGAUGACCUGCGGCGCACAAAGACUGAGAUCUCUGAGAUGAACCGGAACAUCAGCCGGCUCCAGGCUGAGAUUGAGGGCCUCAAAGGCCAGAGGGCUUCCCUGGAGGCUGCCAUUGCAGAUGCCGAGCAGCGUGGCGAGCUGGCCAUUAAGGAUGCCAACGCCAAGUUGUCCGAGCUGGAGGCCGCCCUGCAGCGGGCCAAGCAGGACAUGGCGCGGCAGCUGCGUGAGUACCAGGAGCUGAUGAACGUCAAGCUGGCCCUGGACAUCGAGAUCGCCACCUACAGGAAGCUGCUGGAGGGCGAGGAGAGCCGGCUGGAGUCUGGGAUGCAGAACAUGAGUAUUCAUACGAAGACCACCAGCGGCUAUGCAGGUGGUCUGAGCUCGGCCUAUGGGGGCCUCACAAGCCCCGGCCUCAGCUACGGCCUGGGCUCCAGCUUUGGCUCUGGCGCGGGCUCCAGCUCUUUCAGCCGCACCAGCUCCUCCAGGGCCGUGGUUGUGAAGAAGAUCGAGACACGUGACGGGAAGCUGGUGUCCGAGUCCUCCGACCUCCUGCCCAAGUGAACAGCUACGGCAGCCCCUCCCAGCCUGCCCCUCCUGCGCUGCCCCAGAGCCUGGGAAGGAGGCCGCUAUGCAGGGUAGCACUGGGAACAGGAGACCCACCUGAGGCUCAGCCCUAGCCCUCAGCCCACCCGGGGAGUUUACUACCUGGGGACCCCCCUUGCCCAUGCCUCCAGCUACAAAACAGUUCAAUUGCUUUUUUUUUUUGGUCCAAA
rnacentral:sRNA from 1 species